rnacentral:rRNA from 1 species
UACGGGGGGUGCAAGCGUUAAUCGGAAUUACUGGGCGUAAAGCGCACGCAGGCGGUGGAUUAAGUUAGAUGUGAAAUCCCCGGGCUUAACCUGGGAAUGGCAUCGAUAACUGGUCGGCUAGAGUAUUGUAGAGGGAGGUAGAAUUCCAGGUGUAGCGGUGAAAUGCGUAGAGAUGUGGAGGAAUACCGGUGGCGAAGGCGGCCCCCUGGACAAAUACUGACACUCAGGUGCGAAAGCGUGGGGAGCAAAAAGG